UGGUCGGGCCGAGCAAAUGUUUGAUGAAUGAAUGAAUGAAUGCCUCCCUCCCUCGCGGAGCUCAGAGCAGUUUUGCGGAAGUGCAAGCGCUUUGUAAACUGCGUAGCAUUGUAAAGAUGAGAGUUGUAACACAUCCCUCUCCCCCCGUCCCCCUCCCCGCAAGGAAAUAGGGGUGCGGCGGAGUGAGGAGUCACAACCUGAGUCUUUAGUGAAAAACGAGGCGAAUUGCUGGGACGAGGGAAGGGAGCCAUCCUCCCGGAGAGUGUGGAAGGAUUUUUGACUUUUUCAGGAGGAGAAUUUAGCAGUGCCUCCCUUUCGGGAAUCAUUCUUGCUUGUGGUUUGGAGCUUUGGAGAGCUGGUAUUGGCUGUUAAUCAGUGUCCAUUACCGUCAUCAAGAAAUUUUGGCCUGUGUUUCAGGUCUGACUCAAAGGCUAUUUCCUUUCUAAAAUAUCAUUACCAUUUAGGCAGGUCUUCCUACGGGUGUUAUCCUGGAAAGUAAAUCAAAGUAAAAAACUCAUGAGGUUGAAAGGGUGGUUCUCUAGGACAAGAAAUUUUAAGAUAAAAGGAUUUCAGAAUCCUCAGAAAUCUGUCUUGAACCUGUCCUGGUGAAUAGUGUGAGAACGAGAUAAAAGCAGCAGUGAUGAAAGGAAGCAGAUUCCACAGUUGGGUCUCCGGACUCUGGCGCUCCUUGCCUCGUCUGGAAGCAGCAGUAGUGGCUGUUACAGAUCUUUCCACCUCAGGGGGUGAGGUGCAAGUGUUUAUAGGCAGAUCUGGGGAGCUCAGAGUUCCUGACACUCCUGCCACCACCAUAUGCAAAUAGGCCAAGGAAACUUGUAACUGGGUAAAAUCCAAGGGCUCAUUUUUAUUAAAAUGCUGCAGUAAAAGUGAUGGGAGGAGAGAGAUGGAUAUUGCCAAAGCAAGAAGAGACUCACAAAGUAGCGUCUGCACAGCUGCCCUUCAUCCAAAGUUCUAAGAACCAGGUUAACUCUCCUACUUUUCAGCUACCCUGGAUUUGACUCUCUUCUCGUGACCAGUCCUUGCCAGGUCCUUCCAAAUAAGACUCACAGGAAAUCAAACCAGCAAGUGAUGGCCCCACAUGGCUACAAAGUAAAUCUUUUUGGAUUUUGCUCCUCUUCCUAAUUUUUCAUGAAAAUGGCAAGAAUAAAAUAUACAGAAUGAGGGGAUUUUGUAAAGCCAAGCACCUCAGAUUUUAAGUUCUAAGAGCUUUGGAUGAAAAGAAUGCAAACAUCAGAGCUCUGCGACCCAGCAGAGGACGCCUCCAGAAAAGUGUGUAACCACAUGGAGCUUUUCAGCAGCCUGAUCUGUUUUCGUUGUCAGUGGCUCCACCAGAGAACUUUGGUGCCGAGAGGCAGAAUGGCACUCAGCCACCUACUGAUGAAGUUACAGCUGCACUAGCUUACUAGGCAAGAUCCACCCCCUUCACCCAGUAUGGUAACUGGAGGAAACAGCUGGAACUGGUGACGGCAGAGAAGGAAGUUCAUACAUUUCCAACUUGGUCUGCAUCUCUUUAGUUCUUUUACUUCUUAUUAAUCCAGAGGAGAAAACAGCUGGUUCAUUCGCAAUUCCAAAAAAAAUCCGAAGUUUUAGGUAACAGCGUUCUUUGCCUGGUACAUCAGUUUGUAUGAUAAGGAUCUGCAUACUAUGUUAAAAUAUAACAAUGGGAUAUUUGUAUAAGGCUCUUCUCUGCUACACUUGAAAGUGAGCUUGUCUGAGAAACUAUUUUAUCAGUUUUAUUAUCCCACAUCAGUAGCUUUUGCUGUCAAAGAUUUCAUAAGCUAAAUUUUCUAGCAAAAUUUCUUUCUAGAAAUUCCAUCUACAAUAUUCAGUUACUUUUAGCGGUUUUAUUGUGACAUAUGCAUUAAAAUGCAUAAAUCAGUUAUUCAGUUGUAAUGAGUAAUUGUAAAAGAAACCUCCAUGUAACCAACCAGGUCAAGAACUGGAACACUGCCAGCACCCCAGAAGUGCCCCAGUGACCUUCCUGAACACAACUCUUUCCCUCCCUUUUAGAGUUCUUUGUUUAGAGUCAGUGAUAUUAUAAGGCUGGAGGAAGACCCAGAGAAAUUAAAUGACUUACCCAGGGUCAGAAGAGCAAGUAAAAAGGAAGCCUGGACUCGGCCCCAAGUCUUCAAAAUAGAGUAUGCUCGCUAUUAUAUCACAGUGGCCCUCAGGCUCCUGGAGCAGUAAGGCUACCACGACCUCUGCUUAACUCGACCAGAAUCUGCAUCUGAUUUUCGUUACCAAAACCCUUUCACUAGGAGUCCUGUGCACCAGAACCCACCACCACUGCAGCCUGCCACCACAGUAUGUACUUAGCUGAUUCCAAAGGAAGGAAAAGACAUACUUGACAAGAACCUAGAAUGUGCAGUUAUUUAAUCUUCACAAAACCUUGCAAAGUAGGUGCAAGAUGCCCACGUUCCUUUUUCCUCUUCCCUGGCCACAAAGGAAGACUGUGUUUCCCAGCCUCCCUUGCAGUUAGGCUGGAGCCCAGUGAUUAGUCUGUCCAGCAGAAUGUGGGCAGGAGUAAUGUGUGUCAUGCCCAGGCUUGAUCCCUAAAGUUUCCCAUGAGAUAAUCAGCUCCUCUGUCUACAGGCUUAGAAGCAAAGGAUGUGCAGAUAUUGGAUCACAUGCUAGGAGGAGUCCAGAUUCCUUAGUUGCUGCUUGGAGAAGUGCUAUCUGACUUAAAUCAAACAGUGAACAGAGCAAAACGUAUAAAGUUAUGUUAAGUUGCUGAGUUUAAUAACAAGUCUGCAUUUAAAACAUAAAGAAUGUUAGUAUUCUCAUCUAGUGAGGUUAAGUGAUAUAAGUAAGCUUUUGUGACCUGACGAGAAAAUGCAACCCCCUUUUGUUAUAUUUUUAUAGAAAUAUGAGUUCUGAGUCCCAAUUCAAGCUAUAAAAAGGACAUUUAGGGAAAAGAAAACAACAAUCCUAGGUACUGACUGUUCUGUGAAAGAAUCACAUGGUGUAACAUCAGCACCCUCCAGAUAUUUGUUGAAGGCUUCCUUGUCAACCAAUAGGCUUCCAAUUCAAGGAUAAUAUAUCCUUAGGUUCUCCAGCCUGUCGUUGCAGGAUUGACAUUUCUUUCAGUAACCAAACAAAAUGUUAUGACCUACCCUCUUAUAUGUUAUGAAAAGUUCAGAGCCAGCUCUCUCCACUAUGGCUGGUGUCCUCAAAUUAUUUCAGUGCCUUGCCCCUCACUGGACACGAGUGUUUCAUUUCAUCAACAUAAGACUGUUCUAUGUAGCAGACUUUUAGGUUGAGGGGUAACAAAUGGUUAUUAUAGUAUAAGAACCAACUUACAGCACAGGAAACAAUUUCAAAAUUGAUGUCAGAUAUAACUUUUCCUAAAACUGUUGGUCAGUUGCAACCUUAGGGAAUUUCUCACUGAUUAUGUCUUUCCUUAGGUCUCUUCCAGUCACCCUGGAUUUGCUACUCUAACCCCACAUCCCCUUCACAUCUCUCCAGAACAGUCUCUUUAAAUACAAGAUUCCUUUUACUUUCUUACAAGCAAUUCAACUGUCUUGGGUCUCCACCUUUGAUUAAAAAAGCCCAUCAAACUCGUUGUUAAUAAUUUAUACAGAUGCAAAUAACAGAAAACCCAACUGGCAUAAACAUGUAGAGAGUUUGCUGUUUCUCUUAAUAAAAAAUCCACUGGUAGGGAGUUCAAGAUUGGCACAGCAGCUCAGUAAUGCCAUCAAGUACCCAGGCUGCUUUUCUUUCCUUGCCGUCCUCAUUGCCAUCAAUGUCAUGUUGACUUUUAUCAUCAAGCCUGUUGUUUAAUGAGUCACAAACAGGCUGCUGUUCCUCAGGAGCUACAGCCAAAUUGCAGACUGGAAGGAAGGAGAACGGAUGGUGCCUGUAUGAGGGAAAGCCGAUUCUUCUCCCAACAUUUCCAGCACACUUCUGUUUAGGUCUAAUUGAUAGAGUGGUGCCUUGGGGCACACCUAGAUCUAAAGAAGGCUGAGUAGUAUUUUAGCUGGGCAUUGUUGCCCAACAAGAGGUUGGAUUUCUAUAACUAAGGAAAGCGGGAAGAAUAGACAAGGAGUAGGAAAUUAGGAGUGUCUGACACACUUUGUCUUAGUCUGUUCUGACUGCUAUAAAAAAUUACCGUAGAGUAGGUGGCUUAUAAGUAACAGAAAUUUAUUCCCCGCAGUUCUGGAGGCUGGAAGUCUGAGAGCAGGGUGCCAGCAUGCUGGGGAGAGGGCCUUCUUCCAGGUUGCAGACUGCUGACUUCUUGCAUCCUCACAUGAUCGAGAGCAGAGGGCAGCAACCUCUCUCCUAACUCUUAAAAGGGCACUGAUCCCAUUCAUGAGGCUUCUCCUUCAGGAACUCAUCUAAUCCUACUCACCUCCCAAAGGCCUCACCUCUUGGUACCAUCACAAUGGGGGAAGGAGAGGAGGGUGGCAGGGCAGAAUAGGACUUCAACAUACGAACAUUCAGUCCAUAGCUCCCUUAAAGAUAUUUUUCAUAAAAAGACCAAUCUACCCCAGAGAUGAAAUGCCAAGGUCUAAACCCCAGAAACAGUUACCAUGGUUUUUGUUUUAAAUGGCAAUUUCCCCAAUGCUUGGCAUACAAACAUCAGUAAUAUGUAGAAUUUUCUUUUUGGCUUCUUGUAGUUUAAAAAUUCCAGCAACAUACUUUCAGGAGCAUUUUUAAUAAAUGAAUUUGUGACUUCCAUGUGGUUCAUUUUUAAUCUCUUACAUCAUCAUUGCAAAACACUGCUUAUUAGUGGCAUUUUAAGCUCUUGUUUUAGACCCAUGUGUAAAAAUGAUUAAAUAUUCAUUUCCCUUUUAAAACCAAACAUAAGCAUUACUUUUAUUUAGUUUAAAACAAUCUGAAACUUACAAAAAAUUACAAGUACAGUAGGAAGAACUUUUUUAUCUUGAACUGCCAUUUGGGGGUAAGUUGCCAACCUGAUGCCCCACCAUCCCCAAAUACUUAAGGGAGUGCAAUCAGUUAUUCUCCCACAUAAUCACAAUAUAACCAUCAAAAUAAACACGGAUCAUUUAUAUUAAACAAUCCUAAGACCUUCAUUAAAUUUCAUCAAUCAUCCCAGUAAUAUCUUUUAUAGCAAAAAAAGGAUACAUGGACUUCCCUGGUGGCGCAGUGGUUGAGAGUCCGCCUGCCGAUGCAGGGGACACGGGUUCGUGCCCUG